GUGCUCAUUUUGGCAGUACAUAUACUAAAACUGGAAUGAUACACAGAUGAUUAGCAUGGCCCCUGUGCAAGAAUGACAGGCAAAUGUGUGAAGCUUCCAUAUUUUAA